rnacentral:tRNA from 1 species
ACUUUUUUAGCUUAAGUUUAAAGUGUUAGUUUGAAGGGCUAACGAUACAUUGUGUAGAAAG